UUGUGUGUGACGUUUGCCCACACCACUCUUAAGUUACUUCCAAUUUUUGUAUUUGGUAUAGGUCUAUAGUCGGAGAGAAAUUUCUUCGUCACCGUCGCAAGAAGAAUUGAAUUGGAAUUGAGUCAGGAUUUAACGCUGUAUAUACCUGGAUCGGAUCGAAAUAGGACUACUCAAUCCUAUCCCACAAAACAAGGGGAAUCGAAAAUUGUUUUGUAAACCUUAAGCGACAUAUACAUUGAUCAAAUGCUUGUCAAGCAUGUGAGAGUGUAUUAGUAUAUUUUUUUUGACGUAUCAUAUACACACAUCAUGCAUAAGCUUUCAAUCAUUUAUAUUUAUUUUAAUUUUGAGGUGAAUAGACGUGCGGUUGUUUUAUCGGGAAAAAUAUUUUUUUGCGAAAUUGAUCGUUUCAUUUCAUUUUCAUUCAUAAUUAAAUUUCCGAUAUCCGAUGUUCCCUCUUCGACAAAUAUUAAAAAAUAAGCUUGCUUGAUCAAGCAAUCAAUUUCGCAUAAAUAUAUGUCAAUGCUGUCUAUCUGAUUGAAGAAAAAUCAAAACAUUUUGAUUUUGCUUCAAGCAAACACACAUUGUAUACGUGUUUCAUUUUAACUAAUACUCUCUCACAUGCUUGACAAGCAUUUUAACAAUGUAUAUGCCGCAUUAAUCGGAAUUGAGUUAUUGGUGGAUGAGUUUUUUUGGUGCUCGUUUUUGUCUUUUAAGCAUUAUUUUAUAUGAAUUUUAAAACUGAACAGUUUGUUAAAUUGUAUCUAUUAAGAUAAAAGUAAUUCACAACAAACUACGCAUAUAAAUAAAACCCAAAUGACAUUUCGAUUCUAUUUAAAUUCGAUUCCUCGUACCGUCAACGACGUUGAUGUAUACCUGGAUCGAAGUAUCAAUUCAAUGUCGAUUCGAUUCCUCGAUCCCCUGUUGUAACCAGGGUAUUAAAAUCUACGUGCUACAUUCAAAUUUGUGGAUACUUCUUACCAAAAAUACUCCAUUACCUAGAUCGGAAUCUCAGACUGACAUUUCGGUUUGCCUACAAUCGAAGUACACACUAAAUGUGAGAAAGUGUGCAUGAAAUGAUGCAAAAAACAAACCCAUUAUCACAUUUAGUGUUCUGGACCAUCAAAAUGCUUCAUUGUAGUCUGAAGGAACAUCUAAAUGCAAUAUUUUGAAUGUUUAUGGCCUCGUUCAAAAACUAAACAAUCCUAAAGAACAGAAUCUGAAGUUCUGACAUGGUCUUAAAUUGAAAUCAAAGCUUUUUAAUUUCAAUGCAAAUAAAUGUUGUUAAUAAACAUAAAAUAAUAUCGACAAAAUACAUAUUUAAUGAUUUA